rnacentral:rRNA from 1 species
UACGAAGGGGGCUAGCGUUGCUCGGAAUCACUGGGCGUAAAGCGCACGUAGGCGGAUUCUUGAAGUCAGGGUGAAAUCCUGGAGCUCAACUCCAGAACUGCCUUUGAUACUGGGAGUCUCGAGUCCGGGAGAGGUGAGUGGAACUGCGAGUGUAGAGGUGAAAUUCGUAGAUAUUCGCAAGAACACCAGUGGCGAAGGCGGCUCACUGGCCCGGUACUGACGCUGAGGUGCGAAAGCGUGGGAGCAACAG